GAGGGCCAGAUUGAAACGGUCCGAUGCACUUCACUUGCAAUGCAGAUCAUCAUUUCUGGACAGCUUUCUACUUACUGCUGUGGACAUGAAAGGAUCGUCCUAGGCUUGCCCAUGCUGAUGGGCUGCACCACAGCAGUACUGGAGCUGAAUUCCUGUUGGACAACAUCUUCAGGAUGCUUUGACUAGGACACCUCCAAUGUGAAGCAGUGGACAGCUAAAGAUGUUGCUGGCUGUUAUUGCUAGACA